UAUCGGGGUUUGUCAUUUCUUAAAACAUUAAACAGAGUAUUUCUUCUAUUGAAGAUUAUCUUUGCUCCCGAGGCUUUUUCAAUUUUCUUUCUAUAUUUGAGUGUGAUUGGAUUGAUGUCCAUAGUAAAUCGUUUUUUCUUCGCAUUGUCUUCUCUCUCGGAUCCGUUGUGUUUGAUUUGUAUGUUUUGUGUAUAUUGCAUCCCACAAUUUCUCAAUGGUACAGGCACUGUGGCCGUGGACAGUUGCUUGCUGUUUUGUCCAUUCCAGUUCGUUGUAUUUACUUGUCAUUGUUGUGCAGAGUGUUUUGGCUCUUUCAAGCAGGGCUCUGAAUGCUGAUAUCUUGUACAUCCAUGGCUCCUUUGAGUUCGCAUCAAUGAAGGGUGGUAGUUACGGUCUAUUGCAAAAAGUUUUGUGCAUGAAGGGC
rnacentral:lncRNA from 1 species